CCUACGGGCGGCAGCAGUGAGGAAUAUUGGUCAAUGGUCGGGAGACUGAACCAGCCAAGCCGCGUGAGGGAGGAAGGUACAGAGUAUCGUAAACCUCUUUUGUCAGGGAACAAAGACUGGGACGCGUCCCCGGAUGAGUGUACCUGAAGAAAAAGCAUCGGCUAACUCCGUGCCAGCAGCCGCGGUAAUACGGAGGAUGCGAGCGUUAUCCGGAUUUAUUGGGGUUAAAGGGUGCGCAGGCGGUCUGUUAAGUCAGCGGUGAAAGCCCGGGGCUCAACCCCGGCCCGCCGUUGAAACUGGGAGGCUCGAGUGGGAGAGAGGUAGGCGGAAUGCGCGGUGGAGCGGUGAAAUGCAUAGAUAUCGCGCAGAACUCCGAGUGCGAAGGCAGCAUGCCGGGUCCACACUGACGCUGAGGCACGAAGGCGUGGGUAUCGAACAGGAUUAGAGACCCCGGUAGUC
rnacentral:rRNA from 1 species